AGUGAACGCUGGCGGCGUGCUUAACACAUGCAAGUCGAACGAGAACGGAAUAUAGCUUGCUAUAUUUGUCAGCUAAGUGGCGCACGGGUGAGUAAUGUAUAGAUAACCUGCCCUUAAGAAAGGAAUAACAGUUGGAAACGACUGCUAAUGCCCUAUAUGCCUUUAAUACAUAAGUAUGCAAGGGAAACGCUUUAGUGCUUAAGGAUGGGUCUGUAUGGUAUCAGCUUGUUGGUGAGGUAAUGGCUCACCAAGGCUAUGACGCCUAACUGGUUUGAGAGGAUGAUCAGUCACACUGGAACUGAGACACGGUCCAGGCUCCUACGGGAGGCAGCAGUGGGGAAUAUUGCACAAUAGACGAAAGUCUGAUGCAGCAACGCCGCGUGGAGGAUGACACAUUUCGGUGCGUAAACUCCUUUUAUAUAGGAAGAUAAUGACGGUACUAUAUGAAUAAGCACCGGCUAACUCCGUGCCAGCAGCCGCAGUAACAC
rnacentral:rRNA from 1 species